ACGUCAUUCGUUCAGUCGGUCUACCGAGCAAUUUCACCCGUUUGGUGGAAAAUCUUCCCUUUGUCGU
rnacentral:pre_miRNA from 1 species